rnacentral:lncRNA from 1 species
GCGGAGGAAAGGCAGAUAGUGAUCGCAUGGUGCUGCGGGUGACAGUCAUGGUGGUAGCACUGUGCCCAGUUCAAAUAAGGGAGAUGUCAACAUAGUCUGGCCAAGUGACCAAAACUUGACCCGGAGGCACAGUGAUGUCAACAACUCAGGAGGCCUGACAGGAAUUUAAACAACAAAGUUAAGGAAGAGGUCAUAAAAUGUGUUACUUGCAGUUUGAUGCUAUUGAUUGCUACACUACAAUAGCUACUAGCUUGCCUGCAAUGCUCCAAAACUCCAAGGGGAAGAAAGGAUUCUCUUAAGAUCCAUGCAACUGGGAACCACUCAGAAAGAACUUAAUACU